CAAGUACACUAGAUAGUUGCAUUUGUUCUUAACAAAUGAGGAAAGUCCGGACUUCAUGUCUGUCUUGAACAUAUCAAGAUGAGAGCCAAUGUUGAGUUGGAAGGGAGUAAUCUUUUGGAGAAAAGGGCAACAGAAAGUUAUACCGCCGCAAGGUAAGGGUGAAAUGGCAGUGUAAGAGACUACCGGGUAUUCUAGUAAUAGGGUAUCGCGUGGCAACCCCCUCUCGAAGCAAGGUUAAACCGCUUAGAUAGAUAACUAUCGUUAUACAGAAUUCGGCUUAUUGUGUACUUGCAUA
rnacentral:RNase_P_RNA from 1 species